AACGCAACUUGCGCCCUUUGGCAUUCCGAGGGGCACACCUGUUUGAGUAUCAUGGAAUUCUCAAUCCUCUAAAUUCUGUAUGAGUUUAGUUGACUUGGAUGUGGAGGUUGUGUCGGUGGCUUUUUGUUAGUCGACUCCUCUGAAAUGUAUUAGUGUGAAUCUUAUGAAUCACCUUCAGUAUGAUAAUUGUCUAUGCUGUGGUGUGAAGUAUAUUUGUUUAUUCAUGCUUUGAAUCCUCUCUUAGAAGAGGCAAUUACUUUGUAAUCUGAUCUCAAAUCAGGUGGGACUACCCGCUGAACUUAA
rnacentral:rRNA from 1 species